CUCUGGGGGCAGAGUAACUGUAACAAUGUGGAUUCCUAUUAUCUAAGGAUGAAGUAGUUGAUAGUGUGACGUUUGGCACAACAGGCGCUGUAUGGCAGGGCUAAGAGUUUAUGGGAAAACAGGUGCUCUAUGGCAGGGCUAAGAGUUUAUGGGAAAACAGGUGCUCUAUGGCAGGGCUAAGAGUUUAUGGGAAGACAGGUGCUCUAUGGCAGGGCUAAGAGUUUAUGGGAAAACAGGUGCUCUAUGGCAGGGCUAAGAGUUUAUGGGAAAACAGGUGCUCUAUAGCAGGGCUAAGAGUUUAUGGGAAAACAGGUGCUCUAUGGCAGGGCUAAGAGUUUAUGGGAAAACAGGCGCUGUAUGGCAGGGCUAAGAGUUUAUGGGAAAACAGGUGCUCUAUGGCAGGGCUAAGAGUUUAUGGGAAAACAGGUGCUCUAUGGCAGGGCUAAGAGUUUAUGGGAAAACAGGUGCUCUAUGGCAGGGCUAAGAGUUUAUGGGAAGACAGGUGCUCUAUGGCAGGGCUAAGAGUUUAUGGGAAAACAGGUGCUCUAUGGCAGGGCUAAGAGUUUAUGGGAAAACAGGUGCUCUAUGGCAGGGCUAAGAGUUUAUGGGAAAACAGGUGCUCUAUGGCAGGGCUAAGAGUUUAUGGGAAAACAGGUGCUCUAUGGCAGGGCUAAGAGUUUAUGGGAAGACAGGUGCUCUAUGGCAGGGCUAAGAGUUUAUGGGAAGACAGGUGCUCUAUGGCAGGGCUAAGAGUUUAUGGGAAAACAGGUGCUCUAUGGCAGGGCUAAGAGUUUAUGGGAAGACAGGUGCUCUAUGGCAGGGCUAAGAGUUUAUGGGAAGACAGGUGCUCUAUGGCAGGGCUAAGAGUUUAUGGGAAAACAGGUGCUCUAUGGCAGGGCUAAGAGUUUAUGGGAAAACAGGUGCUCUAUGGCAGGGCUAAGAGUUUAUGGGAAAACAGGUGCUCUAUGGCAGGGCUAAGAGUUUAUGGGAAAACAGGUGCUCUAUGGCAGGGCUAAGAGUUUAUGGGAAGACAGGUGCUCUAUGGCAGGGCUAAGAGUUUAUGGGAAGACAGGUGCUCUAUGGCAGGGCUAAGAGUUUAUGGGAAAACAGGUGCUCUAUGGCAGGGCUAAGAGUUUAUGGGAAAACAGGUGCUCUAUGGCAGGGCUAAGAGUUUGG